GACGAACGCUGGCGGCGUGCUUAACACAUGCAAGUCGAGCGGUAAGGCCCUUUCGGGGGUACGACGAGCGGCGAACGGGUGAGUAACACGUGGGUGACCUGCCCUCAGCUCUGGGAUAAGCCUGGGAAACCGGGUCUAAUACUGGAUAUGACUCCAUGACGCAUGUUGUGGGGUGGAAAGCCUUGUGCGGCUGAGGAUGGGCCCGCGGCCUAUCAGCUUGUUGGUGGGGUGAGGCCUACCAAGGCGACGACGGGUAGCCGGCCUGAGAGGGCGACCGGCCGACACUGGGACUGAGACACGGCCCAGACUCCUACGGGAGGCAGCAGUGGGGAAUCUUGCGCAAUGGGCGAAAGCCUGACGCAGCGACGCCGCGUGAGGGAUGACGGCCU
rnacentral:rRNA from 1 species